UGCACGUUUUCUGAUUCAAGUUCAAAGCAAGGCUAAUCAAGAUGAUCUGGAAAUCAACUGAAAAACAACAAUCGGAGGGAAAAUUUGAAGACAGCAAUUGGUGGAUGAAAUGAAGAGAAAAAACCCUGAUGCUGUCUUUAUUAAUCAGAAGAUGGACAUGACUCUGUCCUUGAGGAGAAAGUAUGUUGUGAUCAACAAGCCUCCUGUAAGCCAAAUACUUCAACGUUGGCCAGACUUUUUAGAGAAAGUCAGGUGUAUCAAGAAUUCAACCGGGUGGUUGGGAAGAACCUUAAGCAAGAAUUUUAUGGGUCUCUUGAUCGUCACUGUCCUCAACUGAUUCAGAUCUUCAGGUCAAAGAGAGAUCUCACCGGGCAGAUUUUGAGCGAUCUUCUGCAACAAGCCAAGACCUCUGAUCUCGUUGACAUGCGAUGUGUUGCCAUGAGAGGGCUUACAGUACUUCUUGGUGAUGACCCAGCUGAGUUCUUCAAAGCAUGCUUUGCUUCUGAUGAUGGAGACUCGUACCAACAUGUGCCAGUUGGAAUCCUCAGCUUAGAAAAUUAAGAUGUGGCUCUGCAACCCCUGUCCAUCCAUCUCCACCCAUCCUCGGUGGGAAUCAUCUUGGAGGGGAAUGUUGUAAUGGACAAUUUAGACAACAUACCCCAGGCCAUGUGUCUUCUUUUUGGUUUAACUUACGCACUGCACCUAGACUACCCAAAGUGCAUGGGCAACACCUUUCUUUUCAUUCAGCAAGUUUUGCUAGGUUUAGGAAAGAAGGAGUUGAAGGGCAAGAUUCUGGCUGUUACA